GAUCAAGCUUAUACAAAAUUUGUGAGUAGUCUUUUGGAGCGCGUGCUCAUGAUCUUAUUUUUAGUAGUUUUAAUAGUGCAUCAAACAGUGCCAGAAUCAUGUUUUUUAACCUUGUUUUUUGGGGGUACAAUUACAUUGUGAAUAUUGUUGGACAGGUUAGCAUCAUGUUUGUAACAUUGGAGAAAAUUGCACAGACAGAUCUAAAAUAUGCAGACAUU
rnacentral:misc_RNA from 1 species